AUACGCGAGGAACCUUACCAGGACUUAAAUGUAAGUUGCAUGAUUCAGAAAUGAAUCUUUCUUCGGACUACUUACAAGGUGCUGCAUGGUUGUCGUCAGCUCGUGCCGUGAGGUGUCAGGUUAAGUCCUAUAACGAGCGCAACCCCUAUCGUUAGUUGCCAUCAAGUAAAGUUGGGAACUCUAGCGAAACUGCCGGUGUAAACCGAGAGGAAGGUGGGGAUGACGUCAAAUCAUCACGGCCCUUACGUUCUGGGCUACACACGUGCUACAAUGGUCGGUACAGAAAGCAGCCACUAUGCGAAUAGGAGCUAAUCUUUAAAACCGAUCUCAGUUCGGAUCGCAGUCUGCAACUCGACUGCGUGAAGCUGGAAUCGCUAGUAAUCGGAUAUCAGCUAUGAUCCGGUGAAUACGUUCCCGGGCCUUGUACACACCGCCCGUCAAGCCAUGGAAGCUGGGGGUACCUAAAGUCGGUGACCGAAAGGAGCUGCCUAGGGUAAAACUAGUGACUGGGGCUAAGUCGUAACAGGUAACCAGGGCGAUUCCAGC
rnacentral:rRNA from 1 species